rnacentral:rRNA from 1 species
CAGUGGGGAAUAUUGCACAAUGGGGGAAACCCCUGAUGCAGCCAUGCCGCGUGUGUGAAGAAGGCCUUCGGGUUGUAAAGCACUUUUCAGUAGGGAGGUAAGGUAGUGUAGUUAACACCUGCAUUAUUUGACGUUACCUACAGAAGAAGCACCGGCUAACUCCGUGCCAGCAGCCGCGGGUAAUACGGAGGGUGCGAGCGUUAAUCGGAAUUACUGGGCGUAAAGCGCAUGCAGGCGGCCUGUUAAGUCAGAUGUGAAAGCCCGGGGCUUAACCUCGGAAUUGCAUUUUGAAACUGGCAGGCUAGAGUCUUGUAGAGGGGGUAGAAUUUCAGGUGUAGCGGUGAAAUGCGUAGAGAUCUGAAGGAAUACCAGUGGCGAAGGCGGCCCCCUGGACAAAGACUGACGCUCAGAUGCGAAAGCGUGGGGAGCAAACAGGAUUAGAUACCCUGGUAG